rnacentral:lncRNA from 1 species
CUCUCCCUUCUUGUCUUCUUUUGGGUUAAGAUUUUUUUAUUAUUUCAUUUUCCCCUCUAUUAUCUUGUUUGUUAUACAUUCUUUUAUUAUUCCUUUGAUGUUUAUCCUGGAGACUCCAACAUGCAUAUUUGACUUUUAAAAUCUAAUAUGAUAACUCUAGUGCUAUGAUGUACUAUAUUACAUAUUGUAUAUCAUUGCAUAUAAUGUAACAUCCUCUAAGACAAGACAUGCAGGAACAUAUUGGAACAUCUUGACCUAUUUAAUACCCUUCCGAAUUUCUGCUCUGCUGUCAUGUAUUUUAAUUCUCUAUGUGUCUUAUAUCCCACAAGACAUUGUUAUUAUUUAUACAGUCAACAUUAAUUUAAGUUUCUCUAAAAUUGCUCUUUUCUGUCUCUCUUCUUCCCUUCCUGCAUCUCCAUGCUUCUGUGAGGGAUCCCUUUCCUUCUGCUAAGAACAUCUUUAGCAUUUUCUUCAGUGUGCAUCUGCUGUCUAAAAGUGUCGCUAUCUUGACUUUGCUUUUGAAAUACUAGGUCACCAGUUAUUGUGUCUCUUCUAAUAUAUUUUAUUUUAAAAAGCUGUAUGUGACUCUUACAUUCAUUUCACAAACCACCGCAUGGAAGGCUCGAAGUCCACCACAAACCAUUACAAACCUGUAGAUUGAGAAACACUGCUCUAGAAGGUGCCCCCCGAUCAUCUCGCUCUUCCAGGCCACCCUGAGAAGUACAGAGGUUCUCACAGUGAAGCGUCUCCAACAAGCCUGCUGAAACCACUCCUACAGAGAAGGCCUUUGAACAGUCAUGGGUCCUCAGCUUCCAGACACCAAGGGCUGGGCCUGAGCCACCCUCGGAGAGCUACAAGGUUUCUACCCAAUAAAGGAACCAGAAAUCAGACUGCUCAUGCUGCCACGCCAAGUCCAGGAUCAAAAGGAUGCAUACUUAGGAAAAACAGCUUGUAGGAUCAUUGACCCACCUUCACUCCCAGAGCUUGAGCAGAACCAGCUGCAGGCAGGUUGGGGCGACUACAAAAUCCUGGGAUUCACUCAGACUUGAAGCACUUGUUGGGUGUCUACUCCUUGCCAGGCACUUAGAUAAAAAGAUGAGGUAUUCACCUCCACAACUGACACACUCCCCUCGAAGCGCCGGCUAUGAUCCUAUCUGACCCCCUCCGCAAGCAAUGUGCGCUGAACACCGCCAGCUGUGCCUCCACACUUCGCCCAGUCUUCCACUGUCCGCUAGUAACCAAGCCACGUCCUGCAGGACCCCAUAUGUUUUCAUUACUGUUAUGCUCUCAACCAGAUCGUAGUCGAGGUGUGGAGUGUUGGGGGCAGUUCUUCCAUUCAUUCAACAAGCAUUAAUUGCGUGUCUGUUACACGUCAGGCACUAUUCUAGGUUCUGGAGAUACAGGUCCUACCGUUGCAGAACCCUGUGGAGUAAGGAUGACAAAUAACAAAUAAAUAAGCAAAUAAAUAUCUAGCCUUAUGUCAGGGGGUGGUUAGGCUGUGAAUAAGCAUAACAGGAGAGAGAGAAACUGAAUGUGAUGCAAAGAUCUCAAUGAAGUGAGAAAAUGAGUCAUGAAAAAAGUCUAUAGACAAGCACUUCCAGCUGGAGGAAGAGCUAACACAAACGUCCCACAACUGGAGGACGCUUGGCCCGUUUGGCGAAGAGCAAAGAGCUCAGUGUGGCUGAAGCACAGUGAGCAGGGGGUGCUGAAAGAAGUUAGACCAGACAAGUGGUCAGGAACCUGAGCAUAGUGCAGGGUUAACGCCAGGUCUUGAAGAUGACGGAGUAAAUGGACUACUAAUUUAAGGAUUGUGGAUAAAUGCUUAUCUUUCUUUUUAUAUAAAUAACAUAUAGUUUUACUCCUCCAGGGCUUCUUAAUCAUUGGUUUAAAAGGCUGCACAUAAGCAAAUUUAAUUCAAACUCUGGCCCCAGGAGUGGCAGAGUGUUGGGGUGACAUUGGCUCCCCUCUUAGCCGCAUUGGAAAGCGCGGGCGUGUGCCUCUGUCCUGCCUGGCUCCCGUGAGCGUUAAAAGGUACAAUAGCUAAGCGAGAGCAUCAUGCACAGUUUGCUUUGUGUUCUCGGGGCACAAGACGGGGAGGCCCCCAGGGAGUCCAGGGUCAGCUCCCUCAGAGCACUGGCGGUCACUCAGAGGAGGAUUUGUCCUGGCGAGGAGGCCCCUUUGGAGGGUUUUGAGAAGAGGAGUGAGAAUGAGACCACUCCGGAGAGGGAAGGGCGGUGUCAGCAGCGGGGAGGUUCUGGGAGGGGAAGGAGACAGCCUCCCGGUGAGAAGGCCGCUGCAGCGUUCCAGGUGAGAGAGGCGAGAGCUGACCUUGCCACUGAUGGAAGAGUGGAGGGGGUAUGGGGGACAAGGAGCCAAGAGAUGCUGCGGUUCCCAAGGCUGUUCACCCACCGGUGCCGCUGCGAAAGCUCCCUGCUUUGUCCAGGCUGCUCUGCACCUGUGCCUCCUCCUCACUCUCAUCUUGAGCAUCGUCAGCUCAGGGGGCCCCUGCCGUCCAGCUGGCUUCAGAUGCCCUUCCCCACGCUGUCCUCACAGCCCUGGACUCUCCUGGAAAGAUGCUUUUCUGUGUCCCUCCCCACCCCACUUCCUGGGCGGACAGCAAGGACUCUGCCCUCCUUGUCGCCUCAGCACCCGUAGGGAUGCUCAGGCGACCUCUGGCGCUCACAGUCGCCCUGGCGUUGUGAUUCCCAAGCUGAAGCUGAUCACACCCAGGAAGCUUCUGUUUCACUGAGAGCCGUUCAUCCCUUGUAAUUACAAGAUCCCAGGUUUAAGACCCACUCACGCUCUUUUAAUUUCAGAACAGCAUGUGCCCCAUAACGAGGGUACGUCCCACUGGCAGACUUCUUGUUCCAGGAUUAAGGCUUCUAAGGGGAAGCUGGCUUUGGUUCCCAGUAACCGGGUUACCGUUGUUUGGCCUCUGUCCUUGAAAACUUGCAAUGCGUUGCUUUUGAUAUUUCCGUUGUGUCCCAUGACAAGAUGCACAGACGACAGAGGCAGGCCUGAGCUUAAGAAUGGCCGGAGAUGACCUCGUAACUAAACCCGCCCCUUGGGUGCCGUGGCCCGUUUACUCUGGGCAUCUAUGGCGCAUAAAUCUACUUUAAGAGAUGUCACCCCUCUCAGGCCAGGACGCCCCACCAGGAGCGCCUCUCAGGCUGCUCCAGGAAGACAGGUACUCACAGCAAAACCAGGAGUCGGGGAGACAGCAGGUCAGACCUGCAACGGAGAAAAUGCAAAGGCGGCGAGGCAGGCCUGCCAGCAGGGCUGCGCUGUCCCUCUCGUCAGAGACGCCCAGCCCUUGCACUCACCCGCAUCCCUGGAGGAGGGGGGCUGGGGGACAGGAGGGAGGAUUCUCGUGUGGGGAAGGUAGACACGGCACGCCCAGGCUUUGGAUCAGAAGCAUCAGUAUUGAUACCAUCACGACGAGUAACAGCAAACGCUUACGGAGGGCCUACCGUCCGGAACGUUUGACCUGCAUUGACACACGUGAUUCUCACAGCAACCCCGGGAGAAAGGUGUGGUCUCAUCUUCAUUUUACACAGGAGGAAGCCGAGGCACAGAGCCGGUAAGCAAGGUGCCCGGGUGACAGAGGCAGCAAAUGGGGGGCGAGAGUCGGACACGGCAGCCUCGCUCCAAAGUCGAUUUUCGUAACUACUCUGCUCGUCAGCUCCUCCCCUUUCACAGUUCAUCCCGGGUCCCUGAGUUUAGUGGCCUCCACUGCAGGUGGGGAAAGUGGUACUCCCAGGCCUGGUCACCUGGAGGGGUCUGGUAGGUGCUCAAUGAACAGUAAAAAGAAUUAGGAAAUAGCGCAGUGAACAGAGUCCUGACCGACAUAGCUCAUCACGGCCUCGGAUUGCAGCAACAGCAGCUGACCGACCCACCAGGGCAAAAACGAAAUCUGCUGAAGGGCUACGCGAUGUCUUAAGUGGAGCUCCCAGAAAACCGUCUCUCCGGUGGAGAGUUUUCAGCAGGAAGUUCCCCGGACAGUGCUCGAGGCAACAAAACCCACGAGGGAGGGAGGGAGGCAGGACUGGCAGAGGGAGAGGUUGAACUUGAUCCCACAGGAUGGCCUGUCAGAGCCACCCCGAGGGAGGCUGCGCAGGGAGGGUGCAUGAGCUUGGGUGAGGGGACCCCAGGCCAUUCUCAGGAUGAGACAGCCGUGGCCACCAGCGAGCAAUGCUUCCAGCAGCUGAGAGAAUGAGGGCCCCGUCCUGAGGGUCCCCUGGCAGGCCCCAAAGCGCCCACGCCAGGAGGACACGCACCGAGCAGGAGUGAAGCCAAACGCCGGCCUAUGAGAGAGCGCUCCUGCAGUCACAGCGUCACUGCCAGUCCUUCCAUUCAGGGUUCAAAUCCCAGGCAGAGGGCCGCUGGCCUGGUCUACUGGGAUGCGCACACACCUGUCGGCCAGGGUGGGCGGAGUCUUUGAUCCAAAGUUCCAGCAAGACUGGAUUCAGAGUUAAACCAUAGAGUAACUGACAGAGGAGGAAACAGAUGCCAGGUGGGCAAAACGACAGAUGUCCGUAACCUCCCAGUCAGAGCCUUGGGGAGAAAUCCUGGGAGACUCGGUGUUAGACAGUUUGCAGAAAGCCCCAUUAUCUGCAUCCUUGCCUUCAGCCCUUUGAAAGGUGACUUUCAAGCUCCUCCAUCAGGAGGCUGCUCCUUCCUCGGCCUCGUCACCUGCUCUGACCAUCAGGACACAGCAGACGUGAGGCCAUGCUGGUUCUGAGCCUAGACCUGCGAGCUCUUGAGUCCUUGCAUCUCUCGGGGAUCCUGCCCAGCGGCCACGUGGACAGGCUUGGUCUAGUCCGCUGGAGGAUGGCAGACCACGUGGAGCGGGAUGAGCCAUCUUAACUCAGGGCAUCGCCAGCCCGCCCACCCCAGCUGACUCCACAUCCACCCGCACAUGCGUGAGGGAGCCCCAUCAAGCCUCGUGAGCCCAGCCCCAAGCACCACCCACAGAACAAUGAGCUCAAUAUGUGGUCGCUGCCGCUGAGCUCUGGGCUGCUUGCUUACUCAGCAAAUGCUAACUGACACCUGCUGCCCAUAUACCGUGUGAAUUUAAAUAAGGAACAGACCGUCUCUGAGUUUUCCAACCUGAGGAUCCUUCCUGAUCAGAUAGUUCACGGGUCUGAGAAGGGCCGGAGGGGGCGAGACUCCCAGAAAGCAGAGCUUGAAACUGUCCUGUACCUGGACUGCACCCACCUGGGGUGGAGGGGCCACUGCGCUGAGAUCUCUUCAAGGUCUCUGCUCAGCUGUGAACACCAUCAGGCGAGGAUGGGAAAGAGACAGUCGUGCUGACGCAGCUGCUCCUGACGACCCACCAUCACAGGCUGCCAGCCAGCCACGCUCCACGGAGGGUCUUAAUAAUGACUUUUCAGUUCUUGCAACGGUUUCUGACAGCCGUUAUGUUCCAUGCACUCUACUGACUGCUUCCACGCACAUUAUGUCAGGAUCACCUCCACUUUCCAGAUGAGGAAGAGGAGGCUCAGAGAAGGACCCCUCGUCCCACCUCCCCACCGUCCAGCAAUGAAAGAGUGUGCCACUGGCCAGCGGGGCCCGCCCUCUAGCUCCAGCGCUGCCGUGGGGCCUCAGCCAGUCCUAAGACUUCAUAGCAUCACUCUUCUCUGCUCAGUAAACCUGGCGCUUUGGGAAGAUCUCUGAUGGAGCCAGAUGGCUCAUGCUCUGCUUUCCGUGGGGAAAGGACCAAUCCCCUGCUGAACACUAAUCUCCUGAAUUGUCCUCUGAAUAAAAGUGUCUGUGUCAUCUGAGUCGGUGAAUGCUGUGUGCUGUACCCUCCUAUGGGAGCUUCACAUUUUUACAUAGUAAAGGCUCUGAGAAGACCUGCAAUAAAGAAACUUUCUUUGUUUAAUCCAGCAUUUCCUAACCACGGAACCCCAUUCUCGCCCCAAUCAUGCCUAACGAAUUUCUAUUUCCCCACCUGAGCAACCAGGGAUGCAAAAAGCCCUAAGGAGGGAGCAUGGGGGCGGGGAAAGGAAAGGUGGACAAUGCCGCUGACCGUGUCCUUGUCAAGGUGGGGAGGGAGCAGAGGGAGAGGCGGGAGAGAGGAGCACGCCGCUGGCUCUCCCACCGCGGCCACCACCUACUCUGAAUCCUGUGCAGGCGGUAGAAGAGGGCAGCCGGCAUCUGGACUCUCCCCAGCACAGGUGGAGGACCCGGGGCAGCGUCCAGUCUG